AGUGCAGUUCAGCACCUUUUCAGAUUCCUGUUGGCCAUUUAUGGAGUCUCACUCUGUAGCCCAAGCUGGAGUGGCGUGAUCUCGACUCACUGCAACCUCCGCCUCCUGGGCUCAAGUGAUUCUCGUGCCUCAGCCUCCUGAGUAGCUGGGACUACAGCUCAGCAAGGCCCACAUUCUCCCGGUGAAGCCACAGAACCACAGGGAGAAAUCCAUGGACUUGGCCUCGCUCUCUAGGGGACCAGAUGUGCAGAGGUAAUGAAUACCAGGGAAUCAGGAAACCACUGGAUCAGUUCUUUGAGCCAUAGAACAACACUCAUCCCAGCAGCUGGGAAGCUAUCUGCAAAAGUCCAUCUGCAGAAAGGGCUUCCUGGUCUUGCGUGUGGCUGGGCCAUUUCUCUGGAUGCAGGUUUUUCAUUAUACAGUCUUCUCAAAGGACCACCUGCUCUCAACACC
rnacentral:antisense_RNA from 1 species